GGAAAGACGAGAGACCGGUCUGUAGUUGUUUUCUUCAGAAGGGUUGAGGGUAGGUUUCUUCAGGAGGGGGUUGACUCUUGCCUCCUUCAGAGAUAUAUACAGUCAUGUUUGCUCAAGUGAAAUGGAUUACUUACUUAUAGUGCUUUAAAGUUAUAACCUGUUAAUCAUAAUCUGUAGAAUUGAGAUAAACCUUUCUUUCACCCGUAAGCACAAACACAGUCAAAAUAGAGUUUUCAAAGAUCACUCUGAAGGGCGUACACCUAACCUGUUUUCCAACAUUUUUGUAUAGACAGAAGGCCAAAUAUCCAACUCCAAUCCACUUUAUAGCCUUUCAGAUGCGAUUGGACCGGGGACAUUCUGAGUUGGGGACACAGCCCUAAUAACAGCACCACAAAUUGUAUUCCUAGAAAAAACAAUUGCAUGGAUUUAGAUGUUGCCAUUUGAUCUAAUCAAGCUAUCCCCUUUUCAGAGUGUUAUGGUUAAAUACACUUGUAUCAUUUUUUCUUACAGUUAUGUGAUGCCCUCAAAGUUCUAUUUCAAAAACUGGGGAAUGUUACUGGUGGAUGGCUGCUUUAUAAAGCAUCAGCUAGGCCAACACAAGUUUGUGUGUUUGUUUGUUUGUGUUGCUCAUUCGUAUAAAAAGUACAUGUGCAGCAGCUAACUGCACAUUAUGCAAUGAAGACUGUUAAUUUUAUUAAUUCAUAUUAAUUACAGAUGGUUCCCAAAUAAAACUUUAACAAAAUUCUCUUAACUCAUCUCAAGUACAUUUGUUAUUAAGACUGUCUAUGUUGAAUUCAAGGAAAAACAUUCAUUAGGAGUCUUACUGCAAGACAAAAACAAAACUACAAAGUCGUAAAUUGUAAUAACUGUAUUUGAAAAAGUCAAGUAAAAUAGACAGAUGGCUUCUUCAGUUUAUACUGUAGUCACACAAAAAGCCGAGUUACUUUGACUUAAAUUAAAUAUAUAUUAUAUAUCCAACACACUGUUGAAAGUUUCCAAUCUAAUUUCCAUCUGUAAUGUUUUCCACAGCUGGAUGGGGAAGCCAGAAACUCUGUGUUGUGCCUCCUGAAGAUAGUGGCUAUUCAGGCAGGGUCUUGAAGGCUAUAGGUUGUUGCGCUAAAAAUCUGUUCAUAGCCCCAAUUCAAGAAGAACUUAACACAAAUCCCCUACUACUCAAUGAUGAAGCAUUCAGGAGCAUUCCAAAAGCCAUUUGUCAGGAGUGUGGAGCAGCAGUUCCCCUUCCACUCCUGACAGAACACAUCAAGUCUUGUGAUGUCAUAGAUGUUGAUGAUAACCUGACUAAUGUGGAUAGCAGUGAGCCUGAAGAGAGAAAAUGUCAAAAUUAUUUGUUUAAGAUUUUGUUAGCAUAUUACAUAGCGUUCAUAAAAUGAAUUAAGAAACCUUUUCUUUCAAAAUAUCAUUGUUCUUUCUUGUAACUUCCAUUUCUCAGCAGCAGAUAUGCAGGAGUGUCCUGUCUGCGCAGAAAUGUUUGCCACUGAUUUUAUUGAGGUACACGCUUCAGCCUGCGGGGAAAGUUAUCCAUUUAUCUUUUCAUGUUUUUUCUCUUUAUGGCAAUUAUCGUACUCUUUGUGCAAGUGUAACACAGAAAGAGUUUUAUGUGGCUAGAGCAGGAAAUCAAGUGAGGCAUGAAAGUACUGUCAGUGAGGAAGAGCAAGCAGCAAUACCUGGACCAUCUGGAACUUGUGCAGCAGAUAGAGAUGGUAGGUGAUAAUGCUUAGGGUCAGGUUAAAAAAGGGAACAUCGUUACAGUGCAAUAAAAAUGAGCAUGUAGUAUGACCUACUGUGGGUGGGAACUGUUUACAGAAAAAGCAGUCUUAGCAAAAUCCUCAUAGCACACAUUAUUUACUCACAUAUUCAUUUAUGUUGCUACUAUUAGACUGUUUAUGCCAAAGUAAGGCCUAAUGUCUUUUACUUUUUAUUUGAAUCUACUUUUUAUUAUUUUUUUGCUACCUUUACAGUCAAGCAUAAAUAAUGAAACAACCACAUUCAUUUUAAUUUUUUCUUAUUAGGGUGGUUAACAGUUAUCAGUGACCCUCCAAGGCCAUGUCUCAGUGUGUGGACAACUGUCUCCGAGUCCCUCACUUCUCAGCAUGGACAUAAGAAGUCUGGCUGAACAGGACAUGGCCCUUAUCUCCUUUUACAAGCAACCUAAUGUGGAAUGGGGACGACCCCUGAAUUGCAAACUUGAAGGAGAUACUGCUGUUGGCCAGGGUGUAACUCGCCUUUUCUUCUCAACAUGCAUGGAAAAGCUGAGGUCUGGAUUUUGCAUCAAUUUUGGUAUGUAUGUUAGAUGUAUGGCAUCCUCGCUAAUGUUGUUUAUUGUUUAAUGUUUACUUUAAGUAGCAUAUUAAAGAUUUCCCCCGUUAUAGUCAAGAUUAUUUUAAAUAACACCUAUACAAGUUUAUCAUCUUAGUUGGUUUGCUGUAUCCUGAAAGUUCAAAGGAUUCUACCAAAUGUAUAAUGCCUGUACUGUGCCAAAAUAAAACCACACCGUGACACUUGGUGGUAGUCCUGAAACUGCCACAAUUACACUGGAGGAUUGUCCAGACCUGGACAUAACAGAAACAAUCAGGCUUGUAUGUGUACAGUUGAUUCUUGAUUCUAUAAAAGCUCAAAUGCCAGUAAUAUGUAUAAUGUGUUAUAUUCAGUAAUUUUUACAAGUGCACAUAGUACCUGGCAUUACUCAACUGCCUCUUGUCUUAAAGCUUGAAGGUGAAUCCAAACCGUCAGAGAGGGAUGCAGGAAGUGUCCAGGAAUUGGCCUUUGCCUGGGACCUCCCAUCCCUUACUGAGAAGAACAGGAGGUGGAUUUUUGAAAAGCUUCUAAUCCAUGCUGUGAUUGGCCGUGUCACAACACAAAUAAAACAGUUUCGACGAGGUCUUAAAGAAGCCCCAAUGUGGACAGUGCUGACCCAACGACCUGACACAGUGGCCUUGCUUCUCCCAAAAGAGGUGUCACCAGGGGGACAUUGUGGUUUCUGUAAAUUAUUGGUUUGUUACAUUUUAGCAUGGUUUGGUUUGGCACAUUAACACAGCUGCUAUAAAGGACACUAAGCACGGCCUGAGAGGGGAAGCAGAAGCCACAGUGAAAUCAAGCGAGAGGACGGCAAGACAGCGGACGAGCAGGCGGGGUGCAAACGAGGAGAGGAACGAGACGGACUGGACACCUCACUCAGGAAAGGAACGGAACCGGAAACUAGAAGAAAGGGCAGGACGUGGCUGGUCGAAUUCUUAAUCUUUUUUAGCACUUUGUUCCAGCUGGACUUUUAAUACAAUUGUAGUUAUUUAUGGGUUUUUAGUUUUUAAUAAUAAAAUCCUCCUU